GAAGGUGACCAAGGCAUUCCAUCUAAAUCAAGCAUCCUUUUAGAAUCCCAUCCCUUUUAAUUUCUUUGUACCUGAGUGAUAGAAAAAACAUACAGAAUAACUGAGAUAUUAUUAUUUCAUAGAACGACGUUGGUUUCCCACUCUUCAACGACGCUACAUCUCCUACUGUAAUUGCCUCAACUAUUAUUUUAAAUUUUUUAAAAUUUUCCUCUUUCUCUUCAACAAAAUUAUUAGAUGAGACGAUCCCCAAUAGUUCGAUUUAUAGUAAUAAAAAAAAUGAUGCACAUAGAGAGAGAGAGAGAGAAUGAUCUGACUCAUAAAUAAAGUUCCUCAAAUUCCUCUCCAAUAAUGUAUGUGGAAAGUAGAGGGCUUUCAAUGGAGGAGCUGAUAAUGUGUCAAUUUGAUUACAAAUAAAUCAAAACGACAAAUGGGGCUGACCUAGGCAGCGACCUGAGAAUGCAUUGGUGCAUCAACGAUAGGACUCACCUUGGUGGCUGCUGAGAUGGCACAUCAAUCCUAGGGUUGUGAUAAAGUGGGCAACAAUCAAUGUUGGCUAAGAGUAUAUUUUGCUUGAAUGUUGAUUCUGGAGAGAGAUGAGAGAGCGAUGGAAGGAAUUUGGGUAUUUGAGAGAGAUAUUCUAAAGUAAAGAAAUAAA
rnacentral:lncRNA from 1 species